GACAGCACCACAACAGUGGCCAUGACAUCUAUAAGGACAACUACAAAGGGUCAUCGACAACCACCCGGCGACCCAUGGACAGUCCAUCUCCUUCUGGAGGUACGACGCCGCGGCCUGGGACACCAAUACCUCAUCGACUGGGUGGGGUACGGUCCUGAGGAGCGCUCCUGGGUUCCCCGGAGUCGUAUUCUGGAUGCCUCGCUCGUCCGGGACUUCCAUCGGGAUCACCCGUCUGUUGUUGGGCGUCCGUAGGGGGCGUCUCC
ensembl:lncRNA